rnacentral:rRNA from 1 species
AAACAUCGCCUCUUGCCCACUGUGAAUAAGAGGUCCCGCCUGCCCUGUGACUUUUAGUUUAACGGCCGCGGUAUUUUGACCGUGCAAAGGUAGCGCAAUCACUUGUCUUUUAAAUAGAGACCCGUAUGAAUGGCAUAACGAGGGCUUAACUGUCUCCUUCCUCCAGUCAAUGAAAUUGAUCUCCCCGUGCAGAAGCGGGGUUGUACACAUAAGACGAGAAGACCCUGUGGAGCUUUAGACCCGGAGAAGACCAUGUCAAAAAUAUCAGCUAAAUGACUUGAACUAUUGCGAACACUUCUCUAAUGUCUUUGGUUGGGGCGACCCCGGGGAAACAAGAAACCCCCAUGUGGAAUGGAAACACCUCUUUCCAGAACCAAGAGCUACAGCUCUAAGCAACAGAACUUCUGACCUGCAAGAUCCGGCAAAGCCGAUCAACGGACCCAGUUACCCCAGGGAUAACAGCGCAAUCCUCUUUUAGAGCCCAUAUCGACAAGGGGGUUUACGACCUCGAUGUUGGAUCAGGACAUCCUAAUGGUGCAGCCGCUAUUAAGGGUUCGUUUGUUCAACGAUUAAAGUCCUACGUGAUCUGAGUC